CUCCAUCUUAAGUGCAUUGGCUUCCACAAGCCUUUUAAUUGCUUUCAAGUUCACCCACAAAUUAUUAGUGUUGAAAAUUUUGAAUUUCUGAAUGGACUUGAAUUCAUUGACGUGCUCAUCAGGGACUUGAGCAAUUUCAAGUAGCUGAACCUUCCCUUCAUAAGAAAUAAGAGUACCACCCUUCACAUCAGCCAAGGUUUUGGGUGUCACCUCCAUGC
rnacentral:misc_RNA from 1 species